GUCGUAGCCUACAGAAAAUCAAGCUGACAUUUCUAUGACAAUUUUUUCAUUUACUGAAGAACAACUUAAUGGUGGUCAAUUAGAUCUUUUAACAAGAGUGUUCAGCGGUUGUGGGUUUUUUUCAUUUUUGUUUUGUUUUUUGUUCUGUUUUGUAAUGGAGCAGCAAUGACCAGGAUAAGGCUAUUUGUAUCAUAUUACUGUCACUUUCUGAAAAUGUAUGUGUUAUAUCGUGGGAGAGAAAUGGUCGGAAAUUAGCAGCAGGGUGUAGGAAUUCCUGGCAAAGGAAGGAAAGAGGCAAAAGGAAAAAAGAGAGACAUUUUGGGAAAUGCUAGAGUGAUGACUGCAUGUUGAAAAGGCAGGCUAACAAAAACCGCUGUGUUUAAAAGCUGUCGGAGGAGAUUUGAGCAAACAUCUGACGGGAGGGAUUAGAAGGAGGGCUACAGAAAUUACCCCAAGGCAAACUAGGAGCAGUUUACAGCAUUCAGGCCAGGCCGUGGGGACUGCUCAUGCUUGUGCCCUUCUGCCUGUAUGAAGUGCCAGGCUCAGGACGUCGCUAUAUGGAAGGAUCCCUUACAAAAACAGCUUUCCUCUUUUGCCAAGGGGUAAGCUAUGCUGGACUUUGCCAGAGGAAGAAGAUGGAGAUUGAGCAUUGAAUGCCUUGCUGGCUUCACAGAAAUUCCUCGUCUUGUGACGUGUCCUCUGCAGAAAGUUUAGAGGUUUCUAGUUGCAAAAUGCAACCUGCUGCCGUGCUCUUUUGUACUCCACUGUGUGUGCCUACGUAAGAAAAACUUGACUUCAGGCUCGAAUCCUUGUGAAAACUUGCAGUGCGUUUCUAAUGUCCAGAUUUGAUAUCCCAAACUGCAUUUCAAAUUUCUGAAAGAUUGUGUGACAUUUUAGUAAGCCUUGGAUCAUACCCAGUAUUCUGGUUGCUGGAGAGAUUCCUCCUUCUGCAGUGACACUUUCUUCUGUGUUAUUCUUCACACCAUUACUUCUGGCUCAUAGACAUCUAAGAACUUGGAACGAGCAGAUGAGUGUGGGAAGACCCUGCUAGCUUGCUGUGGGAAGCUGGAAGGGGAUGCUGCCUGGCUGUGACUUUUUGGAGCACACUCAUUCCCUUGUUCUGGAGUUUGAGGACAUGGUGCCGCAGCUUGGAGGAAGUCUGACUGGGUAAGUAUCAUAAAGAAGAGGGCUGAGAGCUCUCCCAUGAGGGUGAGUAGGCUGAAUAAUGGGGAGAAAACUCUAGUUAUAAAAAAGACAAGACCAGUUAAGGGACAAACAUGGUGAUGGCCAGUGGCUUGUGCUGCUGGCAGCAGGAGUGGCUGAGUGCCCAAGAAGAAGGUGGACUUCUAAACCUUAGUGCCUGAUCCAGAAGGGUACCCUGACAGGCUGUUAUUGCCUGCCUUUCUGCAUACACUUAAGGUCUCCUGUGCGCUUGGGACAAAUACUGACCUUGUCUCAGCACUAAGCUGCGGUGUACAAACCGCAUCAGCCUCCAGCUGAACAAGAGGGUUGUCUGAUUUGGCGUAUGCUUGUGGCACAGUCGCAGCACUGCCUGGAGUAACCUCUGCUCCUCUCAGCAAGUGCCCAUCGCUCCUGAGAGAGCUGUGCAGGGGUGUGAGCAGAAAAAUACGGAGUGCUUUGCUGACUCAGCUGCUUUGUUCGUCUUGGGACCUGGUCUGGGUGUCGUUACACAGCACUACCGUGUUGUGCUGUUGAGCUCUUUCAGGCUGUAUAAUACAUGUCCGCUUGGACUCCAUCUUGUUGCUCAUUUGCAGUUGCUGUUUAGAACUAAAGCUCUGCAAAUUAACCUUGUAAGACUGUUUUAAAUUGCUUAUAAUUUCCUUAUCUUUCAUAGUUAGGCUGUGGUUGUGUAUGCUGGAUUUGUGUUUCUGCUUGGUUUGUUUUGGAAACCCCAAAUGACCAAACUGCUU